rnacentral:snRNA from 1 species
GGAAGCCCGGCAGUACAUGUAUUAAAAUUGGAAUGAUACAGAGAAGAUUAGCAUGGCCCUGAGCAAAGAUGACACACAAAUUCAUGAAGUGUUCCAUAUUUUA